GACGUAGGGCGCGAGCGUUGUCCGGAUUUAUUGGGCGUAAAGAGCUCGUAGGCGGCUUGUUGCGUCAGCUGUGAAAACCCGCAGCUCAACUGCGGGCUUGCAGCUGAUACGGGCAGGCUUGAGUUCGGUAGGGGAGACUGGAAUUCCUGGUGUAGCGGUGAAAUGCGCAGAUAUCAGGAGGAACACCGGUGGCGAAGGCGGGUCUCUGGGCCGAUACUGACGCUGAGGAGCGAAAGCGUGGGGAGCGAACAGG
rnacentral:rRNA from 1 species